UACGUAGGGGGGCAAGCGUUGUCCGGAAUCAUUGGGCGUAAAGAGCGUGUAGGCGGCUUGGUAAGUCCGCUGUGAAAGUCCAGGGCUCAACCCCUGGAAUGCCGGUGGAAACUGUCAAGCUUGAGUCCGGAAGAGGCGAGUGGAAUUCCUGGUGUAGCGGUGGAAUGCGCAGAUAUCAGGAGGAACACCGAUGGCGAAGGCAGGUCACUGGGCCGCAACUGACGCUGAGGAGCGAAAGCAUGGGGAGCGAACAGG
rnacentral:rRNA from 1 species